GUCCCGGUAGCUCAGUUGGAUAGAGCAGCGGACUUCUAAUCCGCAGGUCGUGCGUUCGAAUCGCACCCGGGAUG
rnacentral:tRNA from 2 species